GACGAACGCUGGCGGCGUGCUUAACACAUGCAAGUCGAACGGAAAGGCCCUGCUUUUGUGGGGUGCUCGAGUGGCGAACGGGUGAGUAACACGUGAGUAACCUGCCCUUGACUUUGGGAUAACUUCAGGAAACUGGGGCUAAUACCGGAUAGGAGCUCCUGCUGCAUGGUGGGGGUUGGAAAGUUUCGGCGGUUGGGGAUGGACUCGCGGCUUAUCAGCUUGUUUGUGGGGUAGUGGCUUACCAAGGCUUUGACGGGUAGCCGGCCUGUGAGGGUGACCGGCCACAUUGGGACUGAGAUACGGCACAGACUCCUACGGGAGGCAGCAGUGGGGAAUAUUGCACAAUGGGCGGAAGCCUGAUGCAGCAACGCCGCGUGCGGGAUGACGGCCUUCGGGUUGUAAACCGCUUUCGCCUGUGACGAAGCGUGAGUGACGGUAAUGGGUAAAGAAGCACCGGCUAACUACGUG
rnacentral:rRNA from 1 species